AACAAACGCUGGCGGCGUGCCUAAUACAUGCAAGUCGAACGAAGAAAGUCCUUCGGGACAAGUAAGAGUGGCGCACGGGUGAGUAACGCGUGGAUAAUGUGCCUUUUAGUGGGGAAUAACUUAUCGAAAGGUAAGCUAAUACCGCAUAAGACCACAGUGACCGAGGUCACAGGGGUUAAAGAUUUAUCGCUAAAAGAUCAGUCCGCGUAAGAUUAGCUUGUUGGUGGGGUAAUGGCCUACCAAGGCUUCGAUCUUUAGCUGGUUUGAGAGGAUGAUCAGCCACACUGGAACUGAGACACGGUCCAGACUCCUACGGGAGGCAGCAGUAGGGAAUAUUGCACAAUGGAGGAAACUCUGAUGCAGCGACGCCGCGUGAGUGAUGAAGGCUUUAGGGUCGUAAAGCUCUGUCGUAAGGGAAUAUUAUGAAGGUACCUUACAAGAAAGGACCGGCUAACUUCG
rnacentral:rRNA from 1 species